GUACACGCUGUGACUAGCAUAUCAAUAAGCGGAGGAAAAGAAACUAACAAGGAUUCCCCUAGUAACGGCGAGUGAAGCGGGAAGAGCUCAAAUUUGAAAUCUUAAAGGGUUUCCCUUUACGAAUUGUAGUUUAAAGAAGUGUUUUCUGUUGAGGUUUUGGUAAAAGUUCUUUGGAAUAGGACAUCAUAGAGGGUGAGAAUCCCGUAUUUGACCUUUACUUUCAACUUUGUGAUACACUUUCAAAGAGUCGGAUUGUUUGGGAAUGCAGUCCAAAAUGGGUGAUAAAUUCCAUCUAAAGCUAAAUAUUGGCGAGAGGCCGAUAGCGAACAAGUACCGUGAGGGAAAGAUGAAAAGAACUUUGAAAAGAGAGUUAAACAGUACGUGAAAUUGUCAAAAGGGAAGCGUUUGACACCAGUGUUGUUUUUCUGAAAAUCAAUUAAAGAACUGUUUAUGCUAAGCUGUUUAGACUUUAUCAGCUAUCUGUUUAGUUUUGAGCUUUUCUUUAAUGCACUUUUCAGUUAACAAGUCAACAUCAAUUUCUUUUGCUGUAAAAAAGCUUGAGGAAGGUGGCUUGAGAUUCGUCUUAAGUGUUUAUAGCCUCUUGCCUAUGCAGUCGGAGAGAUUGAGGUCUGCAGCGUAGAUCCUUCGGGGCUAAAUGCAUUUGUGCUAAGUUAUAGCAUUUUAUAGACAACUUGUUGACUAUGAUUUGUCUUGUAGCUUACUCGCUUAUGUUAUUUUACCUACGCUUAGGAUGUUGAAGAUGUAGCACAUCAU
rnacentral:rRNA from 1 species